GGGAAUAUCAAAGGCCAUUGCGCAACCUUUGUGCGACCUUUCAAUCCAUCAAGUUCUCCUUCGGAGUUCAUAUCCAAUCAAAUCCGGUCGAGUGAUCCUUUUUAGGGCGUAUCAGUGAGGUUUUGAUCGUUGUAACGAAAGCUAUAGGUAUUGCGAUAACCAUCAUGUUGUACUCGAUGAUCAAAUAGCCUAGGGCAUCCUAAGAGAAGGUGACAAGCAUCCAUCGGUGCUACAUCAUAGUGAAUUUGAUCCUGGAAUGUUCCACCAACUAAAUAAGACAUGAGAGCAGGGCGAGUAAUGAUCAAGUCUGUCUUCUGGUCUAACCAAGCUAUCUUGUAAGGACAUGGAUGAAUUUCCGUUGUCGGUUUGAGUUUGUUGUUGACGUCUUCUGCAACAACGUUUUUGCUACUUCAUGAGUUGAUAAUAAAUUUGCAAACCUUGCCUGCAAUAGUACAUUUUGAGUGGAACAUGUUAUGUCGUUGAGGGUUGUCAUCGAUGUGGCAUGAAGCGAGGCAAACACGCUGAACCCUUAAGCAAGGUCCACUGUCUGCGGCAAGAUUCUCUGUUUCCUCAAGAGUUUCUGCAAUUUGCUCAUCAUAGAUGACCUCUACAUCAUUGUCAGUCGUAUCAACGAGAAAUCCCCUGCGAUUUCUUUUUGUACAGGUAGACUGACGGUGACCGAUCUCUCCACACGUGAAUCAACGAAAGCGAAGAUGGUUGAGUUGUCAUCUUAUCCAUAAAAGGCAGGAGGACAGUCUCAGUUUGUUGAGGAAGCGAAUCAUCAGUCGGGUUCGCAGUCUGUUGUUGCUGAGCAGAAAGGUUCGCACGAGAGGCAGACCAAAAUAAAUUGCUUCUAGUUAGCGAUUCAAUGGCGAGUGCUUGCUGGUGAGCUUCUGAUAAGGUUAGUGGAUUAAACAAGUUGAUGGUGUGUUGUAUUUGUUGACGAAUACUGGCAUUGAAUUGAACAACCAAUUGGCGUUUAGAAUCCUGGAGAUCAACUCAUGUAAGAAGCAAAAAAAAAAUAUGUGGAAUGUUUAGCAACCAAACGAGUUCCUUGACGAAUAUUAUGUAGACGCUGGAACAUAAGCAGAUCAUAGUUAUACGGCAAGACUUUAUUCUUGAGUUUUGAUUUAAGCUUGUCCCAUGAAAUUAUCUUAGGUUUUCCGAGACGAGCUCGUGUAGUUUUCAGUUGCGUCCACCAUGCUGCUGCUCUAUUGAAAAAUCGCAUCCUAAGAACAGGAACACAAUGUUCCAUUGGUGCUCUUUUGAAUUCAAGAAUUUCUUCAGUUGUGAAAAUCCAAUCGAGAAGUUCUUUGGCUGAGGAAUUACCAUGGAAUUCUGGAAUCUCUAUUUUAAAUCAUGUUUUCCAUUGAAAACCAUCAUCGAUUCUUUGACGUGCAAGGGCGGGUUAUUUCGGAGUGGGGCAAAAGCAUUAUCAGUGAAAAUAUUCUCAUCUCUAUCUUUUUCUUUAUCUGUUUCAUUAGCUUGGUCAUUGGCGGGGAUGCAAACAGGGGGUGGUCCGUUGCGUUGAACGUUGAGGUUUUGGAGGGCGGCGGUGAUCGUUUGCAUCUGAGCUUGCAGCUCAACGAUUGCAUCACGAGUGAUUUUUGCUUCAGUUCGAACAGCUGCUCGAUGAGGUCUUGCCAUGAUGAAUGGAAACAAAUUUCAAGGAACAUAGCAAAGCUCUGAUACCAACCUGUCGCACUGUAUCAACGGUAACUCAGCUCAAAUCUAGGGAUUUACGUUAAAUAUCUAUAGAUCUGACUUCUUGGGUUGAUGAACUUAGUCAAAAUCAACACAAGGCUCUCGAAUAGAUAAAAUAAUCGAAUCAAUGCAAGGCUUUAGAGAAAACUCUAGUUUAUUAUCUUUCAAAAACUCCACUUAUAUAAGUCUCGAGAGACGGUUUAAGUAACCUAACUCUUCGAAUAAUAGAAAAACUAACAAAAAAAAAUCAUAAUAAGAAAAGGAAAUCAUAAAAAAGCAGACAAAAUAUAGUAAUUCCUUGGCGGUGAAGGUAUUAUGAUGCUGUUCAUUAUGUUAUUUGCAUUAAAAAAAUUUAACAUAUCAUAAAUUAUUAAUCUAUUAAAAAAAAUAUUACUCGCAUGAUUACAAAACCGAUCUAAAAGUUCUAUACUAUGUUCGAAAUUGCGCUAGGCGUGAUUUAGACGCUCGGUCUCAGCCUAGCGAGUUGCACAAAACUCGGGGAGUAAUCGUAGAUUAAUCGGGGAUUAGUUUUUAAUAGUUUUAAUAGUUUGUAUGUUUAUAUAAAUUUAAAUGUAUACAAAACGUAAUUGAAUCUGUUGGCCAAGUGGUAAAAUUUUCCUUACUUACUCUUAGAUAUCAGGUUCGAUCUAUUAUGAGCUCAAAAAUUUUUGUUUUAAUUUUUUUUUCAUUAACUAAGCAUUAUUAUUAUAUUGACAUUGUCUUCUUCCCCUAAGUUCGGAAACCCUAAUUCCGCCGCCCUUCAUUUUUCAUCCAAUUUCAUGUUUUAGUUAGAGUUCAUAUCAAAAUCUGAAAGAUAUAUCACGUAUCCAUUGAUUUCAUUCAUGAAAAGUGAAGAAAAUUUAUUUUUUCCUCAGUUUCGAGUUUUUAUCCGCACAGGCUCUAAACACCACGGUGAGUAGCCGCCAAGCACCUCCACGCCGAGAACUCGGCCGUCUUCCCCUCGUUUUCGAACAUGGGUUCUAUACAAACAAAUAACCAAGAUUACCCAUAAGAGUAACUCAUAAGAUCAAAUAUUAUAAUGAAUAUAUCUCCUAUAUAAGAUUAAAAUUUUAUUAUUUAAUUAAGUUUUGUUAAUAUUAUUAAAUAAUAAAAAUUUAUAAACGUUUUCAUUUUCUAAAAAAGAUAUUAUAUAAAACAACUAAUUUGAUUUAUUUUAACAAAAAAUUGUAAAUGUGGUAUCCUCGUCAGAAAAAUUAGGUUAUGUAGCAUUUACGUCAACAAAAUUAGAUGAUGUGACAUCUGAUAUGAUGACUAAAAUAAGAUUUCGCCAAAAAAAACAUGUAUGUUAUUUGAAAUUUCAAAAGUAUAAGUAUAUUUUUGCACGGUUAUACAAGAUGAAUAUAAAUUGAACGUAUUGCUUUAUGUUGGGUAUGAAAUAAAUGUUUUCUCGUUAUUAUCACUAUUAAAAUCACACAUGCGUGUUACCAUUCAAACCAUUUUUCAUUUUGAACUACAAAACAGUUUACAUGGAUCAUUAAAACAAAAUUAGAUAGAUAACUGAACAUAUGAAUCUGAUAAGAAAAUAAAAAGAGAGAAUAGGAAGAUGAAAAACAGCUGUCAAACAAUGUCAGAACCGUUGACUUAGAUUGGAAUAUCUUACCAAACAUGCAACACUUUAUCAUUUAGUUUGUAAGACUUUGGUUGGACCACACAUCCUCAAUUAUAUAAUGAAAUAUUGCACUCGCCGUAUUGCAAAAGAUUUCCUUGUCCCCCUUCAUUUGUACUCGGAAUAAUUUAUCUCAAUCAUAUUUCAUUUAACAUUAUUUAAUUUCACACUAUGUGAUCUGUGUAUAAGAUAAUAAAACAAACCGAUUUUUUGUAACAAAGGUAAAUAAGUCGUUUUUAUGGAAGAGUUUUGGUACAUUGUGUUAACUAUAAAAAUCAGUGGCAAAACAAAAUAUUCUCUAAUUGAAAAAAAAAGUCUUGUGUUUUGGUUCGAUUUUUACAUUUUCUGGUUGACAUGAUUAAAUUUUAUUGAUUGAAUCUUAUGUUGUAUAUUUAGUUACACAUUCCAUUUGCUAACAUCAGGUACUCUCUGUUUUAUAAUUGUCCAUCGUACUUCAAGGUAUCACGAGCAUUUGACCAAAAGUAAAAACUUUUUUAUAAAAUAUUUAAUUUUAAAUAGAUUAUGUAUUUAUAUUUAGUAUACACCUAUGGAUCAAAAUUCACAACGCUUCUCACUCUUCCUUCUUUUUCUCUCUUUUGUCUCUCUCUUUCACAGCCAAGAACAUGAAGCAAGCCUUGUGCCUCACAGUGUGUGUUCUGUUCUUCAUCUUACUAAUUUCUUGCACAAGUUCGUCUAUAACUCAAAGAGGAAAAGAGGAUCCAGAGCUGAAUCCAAGAGUUUCAGCUAUACCAGUAGUAGACGACUCGGUUGAUUUCGAUUUUUGUUGGGAGAGGGUGUGGACAGGUUUACGCCAUGUCUAGUCUUGGUAUUACCAACUGCUCAACUGCUGCGCCCAGCUUGGAGAGAUACCCAGCUUGGAGAGAUACCAAGACAUGGCAAAUUGAUAGGGAUGGAAU